rnacentral:tRNA from 1 species
GCCUUGGUAGCUCAGUGAUAGAGCUCCUGACUUAAGUUGCAGGGGUCCCGUGUUCGAUUCCCGGUCCAGCCA